CAGCCGCCGCGGUAAUACGUAGGGUGCAAGCGUUGUCCGGAAUUAUUGGGCGUAAAGAGCUCGUAGGCGGCUCGUCGCGUCGGCUGUGAAAACCUGGGGCUCAACCCCGGGCCUGCAGCCGAUACGGGCGAGCUAGAAUUCGGUAGGGGAGACUGGAAUUCCUGGUGUAGCGGCGAAAUGCGCAGAUAUCAGGAGGAACACCGGUGGCGAAGGCGGGUCUCUGGGCCGAUAUUGACGCUGAGGAGCGAAAGCGUGGGGAGCAAACAGGAUUAGAUACCCCCGUAGUCCCUGUCUCUUAUAC
rnacentral:rRNA from 1 species